UACAGAGGUCCCAAGCGUUGUUCGGAUUUACUGGGCGUAAAGGGUGCGUAGGUGGCGGGGUAAGUCUGGUGUGAAAGCUUCGAGCUCAACUCGGAAAAGCAUUGGAAACUAUCCCGCUGGAGGGUCGGAGGGGAGACUGGAAUUUACGGUGUAGCGGUGAAAUGCGUAGAUAUCGUAAGGAAGACCAGUGGCGAAGGCGGGUCUCUGGACAGUUCCUGACGCUGAGGCGCGAAAGCUAGGGGAGCAAACAGG
rnacentral:rRNA from 1 species